AUUUCCCGGCUUUCCGGACCUGGAGAGCUGUAUUCCCGCGGGGGUUCGACUGGGCGCGCGAUCCAGUUGACUUACUCCAAGGCGCCAGAUCCCGCGAGAGCAGGAGCUUGAAGUUCCCCUAAGGCAAGAGCCGAGUGUUAAGACUUAGCUUUUGGGGAAGGAACGCGGACCCACGAAGGACUGGGUUAAGUAUUGUUACCGGAGGAAAAAAAAAAACCUGUACGGCUUGGCUUCCAAAUCGCAUGUGGGUAUGCAGUUUCUUUUAGCUUUCUGUGGAUCAUUCUCGUUUGCUUACAGUUAAAUGGCUUCCAUUGGCAUGAAUGUAUAUUGCCCAACUGGUUGUGUCGUGACUAUAAAUAAAGCGAAAGCCUGGAUAAA